rnacentral:rRNA from 1 species
AGAGCGAACGCUGGCGGCAGGCCUAACACAUGCAAGUCGAACGGACCCUUCGGGGUUAGUGGCGGACGGGUGAGUAACACGUGGGAACGUGCCUUUUGGUUCGGAAUAGCUCCUGGAAACGGGUGGUAAUGCCGAAUGUGCCCUUCGGGGGAAAGAUUUAUCGCCAUUAGAGCGGCCCGCGUCUGAUUAGCUAGUUGGUGAGGUAAAGCGUCACCAACGACGUACGAUACACGUAAGCGUGGUCGUGAGAGGAGUGUACCACGCCACCAUUGGGUACG